GUUAGAGCGCACGCCUGAUAAGCGUGAGGUCGGUGGUUCGAGUCCACUUAGACCCA
rfam:Lactobacillus equigenerosi DSM 18793 = JCM 14505 strain DSM 18793 NODE_97, whole genome shotgun sequence.